UCACUCUUUUUCUAACACAGGGACAAACAUUUUCAAUCGAAGCAAAGAUAUCCUUCCCAGCUAACCAAAAGAAAUACUACAUUUUAGUAUGUUCCAAUUGUGGACAGGACGUCCGUUAUCCGAUCAUCAUGCAAAUUCACUGUAUGAACUGUGGUCAACACAGAAUGCUCAUCCCCAGGUGCCGAUUUAAUGUAAAUCUGGAAGAUAACUCUGGUACAACAACAGGAAUGAUUAUGAACAAAGAGGGAGAGAAAUUACUAUCCCUGACUGCAGAACAGAUUUACGAAAGAACUUCCACUAAGAGCAAUUGUCCACCUAUGAAAGAUCUCCACACAGGCUUUAUCAACAAGAUCUUUUCUAUUCGGGCAAAAAAGGC